AGUGGCGGACGGGUGAGUAACGCGUAAGAAUCUAACUUCAGGACGGGGACAACAGUGGGAAACGACUGCUAAUACCCGAUGUGCCGCAAGGUGAAACCUAAUUGGCCUGGAGAAGAGCUUGCGUCUGAUUAGCUAGUUGGUGGGGUAAAGGCCUACCAAGGCGACGAUCAGUAGCUGGCCUGAGAGGAUGAGCAGCCACACUGGGACUGAGACACGGCCCAGACUCCUACGGGAGGCAGCAGUGGGGAAUUUUCCGCAAUGGGCGAAAGCCUGACGGAGCAACGCCGCGUGAGGGAGGAAGGUCUUUGGAUUGUAAACCUCUUUUCUCAAGGAAGAAGUUCUGACGGUACUUGAGGAAUCAGCCUCGGCUAACUCCGUGCCAGCAGCCGCGGUAAUACGGGGGAGGCAAGCGUUAUCCGGAAUUAUUGGGCGUAAAGCGUCCGCAGGUGGUCAGCCAAGUCUGCCGUCAAAUCAGGUUGCUUAACGACCUAAAGGCGGUGGAAACUGGCAGACUAGAGAGCAGUAGGGGUAGCAGGAAUUCCCAGUGUAGCGGUGAAAUGCGUAGAGAUUGGGAAGAACAUCGGUGGCGAAAGCGUGCUGCUGGGCUGUAUCUGACACUCAGGGACGAAAGCUAGGGGAGCGAAAGGGAUUAGAUACCCCUGUAGUCCUAGCCGUAAACGAUGGAUACUAGGCGUGGCUU
rnacentral:rRNA from 1 species